CCUGGAUCGCCCUUUUCGGGUUUUCAAUCCACCGGGAUACCCACUUUUGCCUAAGUUGCCUUUUCAGGUUUUCAACUUACCGGGUGUACGAUCUUUUCAUUUUUAAUCCCUAAUUUUUGCCCGAACCUUUUCAUUUUCUUGGUUCGUCGGGAUGCCCAUUUUUUUGCCUGGACUAUUCUUUUUACUGUCCAGCGGGUCUAUUUUAUGCGAAGUAUUUUUUAACUGCGUCUGAGUUCACAGGGGAAGUGAAGUUUUCACCAUCCAUAGUUGCAAGCAUUAA
rnacentral:lncRNA from 1 species